rnacentral:rRNA from 1 species
AAAAGCUCGUAGUUGGAUCUCAGCUCCGGCCGGACGGUCCGCCUACCGGUGGUUACUGUUCGUCGCCGAGCGUUCAGGCGGUUAUUCUUGAUGAUCUUCACCGGUUGUCUCGGGUGACCGCCAAGUUUACUUUGAAAAAAUUAGAGUGCUCAAAGCAGGCGCGACGCCUGAAUAAUUGUGCAUGGAAUAAUGGAAUAGGACCUCGGUUCUAUUUUGUUGGUUUUCGGAACACGAGGUAAUGAUUAAGAGGGACAGACGGGGGCAUUCGUAUUGCGACGCUAGAGGUGAAAUUCUUGGACCGUCGCAAGACGAACUACUGCGAAAGCAUUUGCCAAGAAUGUUUCCAUUAAUCAAGAACGAAAGUUAGAGGUUCGAAGGCGAUCAGAUACCGCCCUAGUUCUAACCAUAAACGAUGCCAGCCAGCAAUCCGCCUGUGUUCCUCAAAUGACACGGCGGGCGGCUUCCGGGAAACCAAAGCUUUUGGGUUCCGGGGGAAGUAUGGUUGCAAAGCUGAAACUUAAAGGAAUUGACGGAAGGGCACCACCAGAAAUGGAGCCUGCGGCUUAAUUUGACUCAACACGGGGAAACUUACCCGGCCCGGACACAGGAAGGAUUGACAGAUUAAGAGCUCUUUCUUGAUUCUGUGGGUGGUGGUGCAUGGCCGUUCUUAGUUGGUGGGGCGACUUGUCUGGUUAAUUCCGAUAACGAACGAGACUCUAGCCUACUAAAUAGACGUUCCSAUCCUCUUUUGUSGGACGUUCUUCUUAGAGGGACAAGCGGCGUUUAGCCGCACGAGACAGAGCAAUAACAGGUCUGGGAUGCCCUUAGAUGUCCGGGGCCGCACGCGCGCUACAUUGAAGGAAUCAGCGUGUGCUUUCCCUGUCCGACAGGACUGGGUAACCCGUUGAACCUCCUUCGUGCUGGGGAUUGGAGAUUGUAAUUUUCCUCCUUGAACSAGGAAUUC